rnacentral:rRNA from 1 species
AUGGGCAACUGCUGCCGUUCGCCGGCCGCCGCCGCGCGGGAGGACGUCAAGUCCUCGCACUUCCCCGCCUCCGCCGCCGCCAGGAAGAAUAAGCCGCACCAGCCCCGGAGCGGCGCCGCGGGGACCGGCGGGGGAGGCGGGCAGAAGCGGCUGGCCGUGCUGGGCGAGGAGGGGUGCGACUUCAUCGGCGGGAUCGACGACAAGUACCUGCUGGACCGGGAGCUGGGGCGCGGGGAGUUCGGGGUGACGUACCUCUGCGUCGACCGGGACACCAAGGAGCAGCUCGCCUGCAAGUCCAUCUCCAAGCGCAAGCUGCGCACCCCCGUGGACGUGGAGGACGUGCGGCGGGAGGUGGCCAUCAUGCGCCACCUGCCCCGGAGCCACAGCAUCGUGGCCCUGCGGGAGGCGUGCGAGGACGAGGGCGCCGUGCACCUCGUCAUGGAGCUCUGCGAGGGCGGCGAGCUCUUCGACCGCAUCGUCGCCAGGGGCCACUACACGGAGCGCGCCGCCGCCAACGUCACCCGCACCAUCGUCGAGGUCGUGCAGCUCUGCCACCGCCACGGCGUCAUCCACCGGGACCUCAAGCCCGAGAACUUCCUCUUCGCCAACAAGAAGGAGAACUCGCCGCUCAAGGCCAUCGAUUUCGGCCUCUCCAUUUUCUUCAAGCCCGGUGAAAAGUUUUCAGAAAUUGUUGGAAGCCCUUAUUACAUGGCUCCCGAAGUAUUGAAGAGAAACUAUGGACCGGAAAUAGACAUAUGGAGUGCCGGGGUUAUCUUAUAUAUUUUACUAUGUGGAGUUCCUCCAUUUUGGGCCGAGACCGAACAAGGGGUAGCACAAGCUAUUCUUCGUGGAAAUAUCGAUUUUAAGCGGGAACCCUGGCCUAAUGUAUCGGAAAAUGCUAAAGAUUUGGUUCGACGUAUGUUGGAACCAGAUCCAAAGCUCAGGUUAACUGCAAAGCAGGUUCUUGAGCACCAUUGGCUUCAAAAUGCUAAGAAAGCUCCAAAUGUUCCUCUUGGCGAUAUUGUCAAGUCAAGGCUUAAGCAAUUUUCGAGAAUGAAUAGAUUCAAAAGAAGAGCUCUAAGAGUCAUCGCUGAUCAUUUGUCAGCUGAGGAAGUUGAGGAUAUAAAGGAGAUGUUUAAGGCAAUGGAUACUGACAAUGAUGGCAUUGUCUCUUGUGAAGAAUUGAAGAGUGGGAUAGCAAAAUUUGGCUCUCACCUUGCGGAAUCAGAAGUGCAGAUGCUUAUUGAAGCUGUGGAUACAAACGGUAAAGGAGUACUAGAUUAUGCCGAAUUUCUAGCUGUCUCUCUUCAUCUGCAAAGGAUGGCAAAUGACGAGCACCUUCGGCGGGCCUUCUUAUUCUUCGACAAGGAUGGCAAUGGUUACAUCGAGCCGGACGAGCUUCGAGAGGCUCUGAAGGAUGACGGAGCAGCUGAUAGCAUGGAAGUUGUGAAUGACAUACUGCAAGAAGUUGACACCGAUAAGGAUGGCAAAAUUAGCUACGACGAAUUCGUGGCGAUGAUGAAGACGGGCACAGACUGGAGAAAGGCAUCACGGCACUACUCGAGAGGCAGAUUCAACAGCCUUAGCAUGAAGCUUGUGAAGGACGGUUCCGUCAAAUUGGGCGUGGAGUAA